GAUGAACGCUGGCGGCGCGCCUAAUACAUGCAAGUCGAGCGAACGGACGAGAAGCUUGCUUCUCUGAUGUUAGCGGCGGACGGGUGAGUAACACGUGGAUAACCUACCUAUAAGACUGGGAUCACUUCGGGAAACCGGAGCUAAUACCGGAUAAUAUUUUGAACCGCAUGGUUCAAAAGUGAAAGACGGUCUUUCUGUCACUUAUAGAUGGAUCCGCGCUGCAUUAGCUAGUUGGUAAGGUAACGGCUUACCAAGGCAACGAUGCAUAGCCGACCUGAGAGGGUGAUCGGCCACACUGGAACUGAGACACGGUCAAGACGCCUACGGGAGGCAGCAGUAGGGAAUCUUCCGCAAUGGGCGAAAGCAUGACGGAGCAACGCCGCGUGAGUGAUGAAGGUCUUCGGAGCGUAAAACUCUGUUAUUAGGGAAGAACAUAUGUGUAAGUAACUGUGCACAUCUUGACGGUACCUAAUCAGAAAGCCACGGCUAACUACGUG
rnacentral:rRNA from 1 species